CAUUAGCUGGUCUAAGAGGAUGAUCAGCCAGACUGGGAUUGAGACACGGCCCAGACUCCUACGGGAGGCAGCAGUAGGGAAUCUUCCACAAUGGGCGAAAGCCUGAUGGAGCAACGCCGCGUGCAGGAUGAAUGCCUUCGGGUUGUAAACUGCUUUUAUAUGUGAAGAUUAUGACGGUAGCAUAUGAAUAAGGAUCGGCUAACUCCGUGCCAGCAGCCGCGGUCAUACGGAGGAUCCAAGCGUUAUCCGGAAUUACUGGGCGUAAAGAGUUGCGUAGGCGGCAUUGCAAGUAGGUAGUGAAAUCCUGGGGCUCAACCCUUUAAACAUUAUCUAAACUGCAAAGCUAGAAUAUGAGAGAGGUCGCUAGAAUUCCUAGUGUAGGAGUGAAAUCCGUAGAUAUUAGGAGGAAUACCGAUGGCGUAGGCAGGCGACUGGCUCAUUAUUGACGCUAAGGCACGAAAGCGUGGGGAGCAAACGGGAUUAGAUACCCCGGUAGUCCACGCCGUAAACUAUGGAUGCUAGCUGUUAUGAGUAUCGACCCUCGUAGUAGCGAAGCUAACGCGUUAAGCAUCCCGCCUGUGGAGUACGAGCGCAAGCUUAAAACUUAAAGGAAUUGACGG
rnacentral:rRNA from 1 species